rnacentral:rRNA from 1 species
CCUACGGGAGGCUGCAGUGAGGAAUAUUGGUCAAUGGACGAGAGUCUGAACCAGCCAAGUAGCGUGAAGGAUGACUGCCCUAUGGGUUGUAAACUUCUUUUAUAAAGGAAUAAAACGAGGCACGUGUGCCUUUUUGCAUGUACUUUAUGAAUAAGGAUCGGCUAACUCCGUGCCAGCAGCCGCGGUAAUACGGAGGAUCCGAUCGUUAUCCGGAUUUAUUGGGUUUAAAGGGAGCGUAGAUGGGUUGUUAAGUCAGUUGUGAAAGUUUGCGGCUCAACCGUAAAAUUGCAAUUGAUACUGGCAGUCGUGAGUACAGUUGAGGUAGGCGGAAUUCGUGGUGUAGCGGUGAAAUGCUUAGAUAUCACGAAGAACCCCGAUUGCGAAGGCAGCUUACUAAACUGUGACUGACAUUGAUGCUCGAAAGUGUGGGUAUCAAACAGGAUUAGAUACCCGGGUAGUC